UGACGCUGAGACGCGAAAGCGUGGGGGAGCAAACAGGAUUAGAUACCCUGGUAGUCCACGCUGUAAACGUUGGACACUAGGUGCUGCGGGUAUCGACCCCUGCGGUGCCGUAGCUAACGCGUUAAGUGUCCCGCCUGGGGACUACGGCCGCAAGGCUAAAACUCAAAGGAAUUGACGGGGGCCCGCACAAGCGCUGGAGCAUGUGGUUUAAUUCGAAGCAACGCGCAGAACCUUACCUGGGCUUGAAAUCCCUCGACCGCCAUGGAAACAUGGUUUUCCCUUCGGGGACGGGGUGACAGGUGCUGCAUGGCUGUCGUCAGCUCGUGCCGUGAGAUGUUGGGUUAAGUCCCGCAACGAGCGCAACCCUUGUCGCUAAUUGCUACCAGUUCGGCUGGGCACUCUAGUGAGACUGCCGGUGUUAAGCCGGAGGAAGGUGGGGAUGACGUCAAGUCCUCAUGGCCCUUAUGUCCAGGGCUACACACGUGCUACAAUGGUCGGUACAAAGGGCUGCUAGCCUGCAAAGGUAUGCCAAUCCCAAAAAGCCGGCCUCAGUACGGAUUGGAGUCUGCAACUCGACUCCAUGAAGGCGGAAUCGCUAGUAAUCGCGGAUCAGCAUGCCCCGGUGAUACGUUCCCGGGCAUUGUACACACCGCCCGUCACACCAUGGAAGUCGACUACUCCAGAAGUCGUUGAGCUAACCUUCGGGAUGCAAGCGCCCAAGGAGUGGUUUUGACCUGGGGGGA
rnacentral:rRNA from 1 species